UUUUUAAUACGAAGCAGCUGAAUCCUGCACCAUAGAUGGUGAAAGUCCAGUAGUAAAAAGAAAAUUCUAUUUUUGUCUAAU
rnacentral:rRNA from 1 species